CAAACCAAAGCUGGCGACCGGCGCACGGGUGAGUAAUACGUAUCCAACCUGCCUCAUACUCGGGGAUAGCCUUUCGAAAGAAAGAUUAAUAUCCGAUAGCAUAUAUUUCCCGCAUGGGUUUUAUAUUAAAGAAAUUCGGUAUGAGAUGGGGAUGCGUUCCAUUAGUUUGUUGGGGGGGUAACGGCCCACCAAGACUACGAUGGAUAGGGGUUCUGAGAGGAAGGUCCCCCACAUUGGAACUGAGACACGGUCCAA
rnacentral:rRNA from 1 species